CGGGACGGGUGAGUAAUGUCUGGGAAACUGCCUGAUGGAGGGGGAUAACUACUGGGAACGGUAGCUAAUACCGCAUAACGUCGCAAGACCAAAGAGGGGGACCUUCGGGCCUCUUGCCAUCGGAUGUGCCCAGAUGGGAUUAGCUAGUAGGUGGGGUAACGGCUCACCUAGGCGACGAUCCCUAGCUGGUCUGAGAGGAUGACCAGCCACACUGGAACUGAGCACGGUCCAG
rnacentral:rRNA from 1 species